GGAUGAACGCUGGCGGUAUGCUUACCACAUGCAAGUCGAACGGUCACUUCGGUGAUAGUGGCGGACGGGUGAGUAACGCGUGAGAAUCUGUCUUCAGGUCGGGGACAACAGUUAGAAAUGACUGCUAAUACCGGAUGUGCCUUUGGGUGAAAGAUUUAUUGCCUGAAAAAGAGCUCGCGUCAGAUUAGCUAGUAGGUGGUGUAAGAGACUACCUAGGCUCCGAUCUGUAGCUGGUCUGAGAGGACGAUCAGCCACACUGGAACUGAGACACGGUCCAGACUCCUACGGGAGGCAGCAGUGGGGAAUUUUCCGCAAUGGGCGAAAGCCUGACGGAGCAAUACCGCGUGAGGGACGAAGGCUUUUGGGUCGUAAACCUCUUUUCUCAAGGAAGAUGAUGACGGUACUUGAGGAAUAAGCAUCGGCUAACUCUGUG
rnacentral:rRNA from 1 species